AUGCAUGCUUUGAAGCACAUCUACUAAAAUUGGAACAAUACAGAGAUUAGUAUAGGCCUGCAAAAGGAUGAAAAGCAAGUUUGUGAAGAAUCCCAUAUUUUC
rnacentral:snRNA from 1 species